rnacentral:lncRNA from 1 species
CCUCCCACGAGACUUCUGAAUGUUUCCUUUAACAUUAACAAAUCACAACCUGAAGUGGCACGGAAACAUUUAAAUUAUAAGGCAAGUGAUGAGAAGGGAAAUGUAGAUCAUUGCUCAAAUACUGAAAAUCCCUAGGAAAAGAGAUGCCAGCAUCCAGAAGUCUAAUUUGGAUAUAUCCUUUUCUGAAUACCUGUGGGGAUUAACGGUGGUGGUCUUUACCUUGAAGCAUUGAUGCGUGUGUGCUGGUCUUUCUUGCGUGCAUGACCACGGCCUGGAUUGGUGGAAGACCCUGGGACUAAGAAGAAAGAAGGAAGUGGGGAGGAGCAAGGAGUCAAGGGGUCACCAUCAGGGUCCAGUGGCUUUCCUGCAAGAGUUCAAGAAUGUGGGUCCCAUCCUUCACUGAGGUCCAAGGGAGAGCAGCCUGCCGUCCUAGCACCGCUGCAAAGAAGCUGCCUGAAAUAUUUGUGCUGCCUCGUUCAUGGAAGAAAUAGAAUUCAAGAGAUCAAAACAGAGCCCACUAUUUUAUUGUAAAUAAAGUUACUGAUGUGAAAACAAAG